ensembl:lncRNA
UAGGUGUUCACUUCAGCAACUAAGGACAUGACUGAAUGAAUGAACUCCAGGCAGGUGUGUGUCACAGAGGCAACCUUCAGUAAAAGAGCAACUUUAUUGCUUGGACACAAGGACAUCCAGAGCUUGCCAGUCAGAAACAAAGCCAAGAAGUGUGUGCCUUGCUAAGGGAAAGAGCCUCUAAAACCUGCCAGGGAUGUAGUACACUGGAGUAAGCCUCUGGAACUGGGGCAGUGGUAAUUCUUUUAAGUUUUGUGAGUCGUGGGGCCCUGUGGCAACCUGUCCUCACAGCUCUGACUUACUGUAUUCCUGAGUAAGUUGAGAGAAGUCCAAUUCAUGUGUUCCUGGGUAAUUUACAUGAUUUUCAGCAAAAUGCCACAAUUGGGUUAUGAGCCGCUGGAUGUUGAUGGUAAUGCUUUUUCUGCUCCUUUUAAAGUCCAGUCCCAGCUGGUCCAGUACCGGACAGCGAGUAAGAGCAAAGGACACAGUGUCUGAGGGUGGUGUCUGUCAGAGCACUACAGCCUCCAGCAAGAAGUGGGAGAGGUUCCCAGCUACCUGCUCUGCCAUGCCGGCUGGCAGGACCUGGGAGAGGUGGAAACAGCUUGGGACUGCAGAGGAGCUGAGAGGUGCAGAGGAAAAUGGGGGUCACCAGAUGAACACCAGACUUGCUUUUUGUUCAGCUUUGCUCUAUCCUGUUGUCAAAAUAAACUGAAUUAUGACCUGAAGAGGUUAGAGAACCAUUGUGCUACUUUGUUGAUGAAGAGACUGUGACAUGGAGAGGUGAUGUGACUUGUCAAGAAAGACUCAGUGGCAGCUUCAACCUGGGAAACCAAGUCUCUAGACUUGGCGUGAGUCUCUUACCCUGCAUGGGCAGUCCACCUGGCCAGCUUGUCAUUCUCACACCGGAGUCCCUUCAGAUAGGAGCUACUCCAUUUUCACUGAAGAACAGUCCGAGGGUCAGAUGCCUCCCUUCAAGUAUGAAGAUUGACUAGUGUGAGUCCUUCAGAGCAUUUGGUUUUCAUGGGCUGUUUCAACUACUGCUUUCAAUGAAGAAUGGUGGGGGGUCCCCAGUGACACCUCUAGAAAACUCUGCCUUCCCCCAUGGCUCAGUCCCCUCUUCUUCCCUUGAUUGGACUGAGAGACAGACCUAGAUGGCUCCCUUUCUGAGAGGUAGGUGGAUGCUUGGGUUCUGACACAGCUGACCUUAGUGAUUCCACUGGUGCCAUCUGCCCACAAAAGCCUCCCAGAUCUUCCUAGCUCACCCACAUUUCUAGUUUGAAAUGUGAAUACCAGGUUUUAAAGAAGGUAAACGGGGAAGGGGUGAUGGUGCUAUUAUGAACCCAAUAGUCUUGACUGCACUUUGCUAGCGACAGCCUCCAGCCUGUUGAAAACUGUAGCACAGCUCCCUAGUGAGAAUGGUCAGAGGGCCAUCCUUUUGACACCAGCUGAGGCCCUGUCUCUCUCCUGGCAGUCCCUGGACUGUCUGGAGUCUCCUGGGUACACUAGUCAGGCUUCCACACUGCACGCGCUCCUUUCUACAGUGUGCUGAGCCCCUCCCCACCAACAUAGAUGAGGUUUUCUUUGGCUCAUGCUGCUUCAUCCAUUCCUGAACUUUCAUCAUUGAAAUGAAAAUAGUGUCAGGCCCUGGGAGACCCCGAAUUUAUAGUUCCCAUUCUUAACCCUUUUUCUGUUUCAAGAAAAGUGCCCCCUUUUGGGCAUGCCUCAGUGGCCAGGAAUCCUCCUGCACAAAGGGCUCCAUCACACCCCUCAUGCUUAUGAGUGUAAGGGACCAUCCAUGAUCUUCACUUAAACAGCUUACAUUGUCUUAGCCACAUGGUGCCAGACACCACCAGUGUGCCAAGGUCAAGGAUCCCUUUCCCAUCUCAUCUAAGUGCUUUUAGCUUUUCCAGGAGUUUAGGUCGAAAACUGUAGUGUUGUGUGGGAAACCCAAGUCUCCCUCACAUCAGAAAAUAUCAAUGGACUCUCCUUUAAGAUGUAUGUAGGGGCUGGUGAGAUGGCUCAGUGGUUAAGAGUGCCGACUGCUCUUCCAAAGGUCCCGAGUUCAAAUCCUAGCAACCACAUGGUGGCUCACAACCAUCUGUAAUGAAAUCUGAUGCCCUCUUCUGGAGUGUCUGAAGACAGCUACAGUGUACUUACAUAUAAUAAAUAAAUGAAUCUUUUAAAAAAAAUGAUGUAU